AGAAGAGUUUCAACUCCCAACCCAAUGUGAACCAUACCAAACUGUUGCCUCGGCGGGGUCACGCCCCGGGAGGGGCGCAGCCCCGGAACCAGGCGCCCGCCGGAGGGAAAACCAAACUCUUUCUGUAGUCCCCUCGCGGACGUUAUUUCUUACAGCUCUGAGCAAAAAUUCAAAAUGAAUCAAAACUUUCAACAACGGAUCUCUUGGUUCUGGCAUCGAUGAAGAACGCAGCGAAAUGCGAUAAGUAAUGUGAAUUGCAGAAUUCAGUGAAUCAUCGAAUCUUUGAACGCACAUUGCGCCCGCCAGUAUUCUGGCGGGCAUGCCUGUCCGAGCGUCAUUUCAACCCUCGAACCCCUCCGGGGGGUCGGCGUUGGGGAUCGGGAACCCCUAAGACGGGAUCCCGGCCCGCAUGUAAAUAGCAGGGGCGGUCUCGCGCGCACCCUGCGUCCGUGCGCAGGAGUUUGGACACACUCGCACCGGGGAGGCGGCGGCGACGUCCGCGUACGCGAUAAAACACCGAACUUGUGAAAUGUGGACCUGGGAUCAGGAAGCGAAUAGCCACGCUAGACCUCAAGCAGUAUCAAGCAAGCAGAGGGAUCAUUACCGAGUUUACAACUCCCAAACCCAAUGUGAACCAUACCAAACUGUUGCCUCGGCGGGGUCACGCCCGGGGUGCGUCGCAGCCCGGAACAGGCGCCGCCGGAGGGACAACCAACUCUUUCUGUAGUCCCUCGCGGACGUUAUUUCUUACAGCUCUGAGCAAAAUUCAAAAUGAAUCAAACUUUCAACAACGAUCUCUUUGUCUGGCAUCAUGAAGAACGCAGCGAAAUGCGAUAGUAUGUGAAUUGCAGAAUCAGUGAAUCAUCGAAAUCUUUGAACGCACAUUGGGCCCCCGUAUUCUGGGGGGAAUGCGUGUCAAGGUUUUUAACUUGGA
rnacentral:rRNA from 1 species